CAUGUUUCUGAAGCAGCAACCUUGUCUAUUCCCUGCUUAAUAAAUGCACUAAAGUCAGGUAGUGAGGCUGCUCAGGAAUCUGUAUUGGACACCCUCUGCUUGUUGAAACANNNNNNNNCAUGUCAAUAGAGAUUGCGAAGUCUCAAGCAAUGGUUGCAGCUGAUGCCAUUCCUAUUCUCCAAAUGCUGAUGAAGACCUGCCCGCCAAGUUUCCACGAGAGAGCAGAC
rnacentral:misc_RNA from 1 species